rfam:Candidatus Puniceispirillum marinum IMCC1322, complete genome.
GGGGGUGUAGCUCAGUUGGUUAGAGCGCUGGCCUGUCACGCCAGAGGCCGCGGGUUCGAGUCCCGUCACUCCCG